UCGCUUUUCUAAGUACUAGUGCCGCAGGAGAUGUUUACAUUUAAUAUAGAACCUCCUGCUGCCCAAGUGCUUAUCAAAGAGA
rfam:Glossina morsitans morsitans, isolate Yale, WGS project CCAG01000000 data, contig: ctg10023686